UUGAGGCUAUGAUAUGAGAUGAUAUGGGCCAUGAGGGAUCUUAGGGCCAAAAUUGGGGUCUUACACCAACAAUUGGUUUGUUUGGGUGGUGUUUUGUAUUAGAGGGUUAAACACCGCCCCCAUUUGUUGCGUCAACAUUUGGACCAUAUCAUGAUUGCUCUCGUCCAUUUUUUGUCUAAUUACUUGCGCAGAUUUAUUUGUUAUCGCUGGCAUGUAAAGUGGUUG
rnacentral:lncRNA from 1 species